CACGUAGGGCGCGAGCGUUGUCCGGAAUUAUUGGGCGUAAAGAGCACGUAGGCGGCCUGUUGCGUCCGCUGUGAAAGCCCGGGGCUUAACCCCGGGUCUGCAGUGGAUACGGGCAGGCUAGAGGUAGGUAGGGGAGAAUGGAAUUCCCGGUGUAGCGGUGAAAUGCGCAGAUAUCGGGAGGAACACCGGUGGCGAAGGCGGUUCUCUGGGCCUUACCUGACGCUGAGGAGCGAAAGCGUGGGGAGCGAACAGG
rnacentral:rRNA from 1 species